rnacentral:lncRNA from 1 species
AAACAAUCAUCAUCUUAUCACAAAUCCGACCACAACAUUCAACAACAAUAAUCAAACAACAACUCUUCAUAGUAAUUAAUACAAAAACCUAACAUGCAAUAUUAAUAAUCAAUGAUACUAAAUUAAAUAGGAUUAUCCCAAUACCUAAAUAUACAAAUCAUGAACAGAUAUUAGGAACAUGCAACCAAUACCUCUAAGCACACCUAAGAGAGGUUUUAAGAGGAUUUUCUAUGUUACCUUAAGAAGAGAUUUGAGACCCCAAAGUUUGAUUCUAAUUCCUUCUUCUACAAGUGAAACUUUAACUCCUCUUCGAAUUCACGUUUCCAUCUUCCUUCUCAACAUGCAAGAACUCUAAACUUUUUCUCCUAUAUUGAAACCCUAACUUUCCUUUUCUUCUUUCUCAUAAUUUCUCAUUUCACUCUAUCUCUUGGUCCUCUUUUACUCUAAUAUAGGUGUUAGAGUGUUUCUAUGAUGAGAUGGUGAAAUGAGGGAGCUUGAGAAGGACAUGCAAUGGAGUUACUGUGUUAUCUCUUGUUUCUUUUUUUCUCCUCUCUUCUUCUUUCCUCUUUUCCAUUCUUUCAUCUUUUCUCUUUUUUUUUUCUUCAUUUUUCCUGAGAUGUUACGGUUCUGCCAUCCUUCCCUCUUUCUUUCUUUCAUUCAUUAAUUUUUUUUUAAAAACAAUUGGAUUUUAAGUAAAGGGGAGUGUGAUGGGAAUUGUCAAUUACGCCCCUCCGAAUCCUUCCAAAUGACAAAUUUUGUUUUGACUAUAAAAUGUGCUACUAGAAGUUGAAUUUGAAAUUUCUAUUGAGUUUAUUUCUAAUUUAUUCCCCAACUAUAACAAACACAUUAAUAUAAACUUCCUAAACUAAACUUCACUUGAAUAACUAACAAUCAUUUUUUGAUUAAAUAAUAUUUAAGAGAUUUGUAUAAAUAUAUGAAUUAGGACAAUAAAAUAUAAAUAAUAGAAUUAUUAGUAUAAAUAAGAAUAAAUGGAAUAUACAAUUUUUGGGGUGUUACAUUCUACCCACCUUUUAAAAAUUUUGUCCUCAAAAUUGUCUAAAUUUUAAUAUUUAACCUCAUAAAAGUAGUAAACAAUUACAACAUCAAUCAACUAUUAUACUUAUUACAUUCUGAGAUAACCUUCUCACACUAUAUAAGAAGUAAAACAAUUAUUAAAUAUUAAUUAUAUCUAUUAAAAUAAAUCAGAACACUCUAUAAAUUUAAAAAAUAUCUUUGAUAUUUACAUUUUUAAUCAUUACUCAAGUAAGACAAAAUGACUAAUAUCAUAUAAUAAUAUAUUUUACCACAUCAUACUCACCUCAACUGCUGUCAGGGUGCACUCAAGGUCUUAGGCAGGAUGGAUUACUCACAUCAACUGCGGCCAGGAAGGCACUCCAUGACUUAGGCAGGCUAGAGGAGGACUAGUAAAUAUCUUUGGCAUUAUAGAGUUGUUCUCUUGGAUUUUUUUUUUCUUUUUCUGCAAUCUGGUUAAUCUCAAAUAAGACAUCAUAAAACAUACAUAUUAUUAUUUUACAUGACAAAACACUUUAAACAAUUAACAAAUUAUUUUAAUCUAACAAGUAACUAAGUUAAACUAUAUUACAUAAUCCUAAUUAAAUUAAUAUUGACAUUAACCAAUAAUAAAUAUACUAUACAAGAAAAAAAAAUCUCUUAAACAUCGAUUUUGUUUAAUCAACAAGCAAAACUUGUUUGUGUAUAUAUAAGUGUAUUGUGAAACCUAUGUAAUAUGUGCUUAUGUAUAUUAUGUACAACACAGUAGAUUGCACCCUAUAAGUUAAACAUGUUUAACAAAUCACAUAAACACAAAUGUAUUUGAAAGAAAAUAUCACGAGUUCACAUUUGUCAAUAAAAAAAUUCUAAGUGAGUUUUGAAGAAUGUUUACUUAAAAGUUGAUCUAUUACGAUUAUGCACUCUAAUCAUAUAACGUCUAGACAAUCUUAAAGAUGUAUUAGUCUAUUCAUCGAUACUUGGAGUUUCAUCUAAAUCUUAUAAAUAAAUUCUACAAGUACGGAUGAUGUUUUGUGACAGGUCGCUAAUUUUGCGACUAGGUCCACUCAAAUUCCUCCAUGUUACAAACUCUAACACUUAGUUUGGUGUCACUACUCGAUUACUAUCAAAGACAUAACUUGUUAGGGUAUCCUAAUUUUACAUAGCAACCUUUUAAACUAAAAUUAUUCAGACUAAACAUCUUUAGAAUUUGUUCACAAACAAGAUUACCCAUUAAUAUAAAGAAAACGUUUUUGUAGGAAUGACCUAUAUUGGUAGGCUUACAUCAAAAUUUUCUAAGUUCAUAUUUUGUGAAUUUUCAUAGAACGGGGAGCAAUAUGUGUUCUAAUUAAGUCCUUACUUCUAUGACUUCCUAUUUUCCUUACACACGCAACAACUCAGAAGGUUUAGGUGGUUGACAUGAGGAAAACGAUGAAUCCAUUCGAGGUUAUCUCAAUAGAAAUCACUAUAGAACGGAGUACCCAUAUGCAUGUUAGGAAUAAUGGCCUCUAUUAGUUCAAAAAAAUGAGAGUUAUUAAACAAAUUAUCAAAGAUCGGUAGCGGAAUAUAUUCAGGAGCAAGAUUCACACAGUUGCAAUUAUUAUCAAUAUAUGAGAACAGAAACAAUGCUUAAUUCAGAAUGUUAAUCAAUAUAGAAAUUCAUUAAUUCAAACAUUCAAGAAUACACAUUUAUGUAAUAUCAAAAUAAAGAGUAGGGAUAAGAAACAAGUGCACCAAGAUUUAUACUGGUUCAGCUAUCAGUUUGAUAGCCUACAUCCAGUCCUGAAAUCCAACAAGAUUUCAGCCUUUCCAAUAGAAUGAAUUGAGAACGUUUUACAGAUUGUCCAGCUUCCACAAAGCCUAUCUAUCUAACUCACUUACUUCUAUUUCUAUACCACCUAAUCCUUGGAGUUAAUCGCCUAACUCUCACAAGAUUCAAGUGAAACUUCUUCUUGAUGAUCUCACACCAACAAAGAUAGCUACCAGUUUCCUUACUAGAUUUCUAAACCUUCAAUUACAGAAAAUUGUCUUCCACAAAGAAUUAAAGAAAAUCAAGACUUUGACUCAAUCACAAUAGUAUCUCACACAAAUGUAUUUAGCCAAUGAAUAUUUGUGUGUUGUAAAAACUUUUCUCUCAGAGUGUUUAUCAAAGUUAUUCAAAAUUUGUCAAAAAGUUUUCCAAAAGUUAUCAAAAUGUUAUCUAAAAAAAGUGAUUGAAUCAGCUUAUAUAUAUUCAGAAAAACACCAGGAUAAUCGAUUGCUCAAUCGAUUUUAUAAUGUUUUAAAGUUAGCUAAAUCGAUUGCCCAAUCGACUUUCGCAUGUCUUGUUUUUCUUGAAUCUUGAACAUAUAAGCAUGAAUUGAUUUGCCAAUCGAUUCUUUUAAUUCAUAAAUUAGAACUGAUACUAUGAUUGUAUCAGAAUCGAUUGAGUAAUCGAUUAUAGGUGUUUUGUUCAAACAACGAGAUCAAAACAAUCGAUUGCUUAGUCGACUUCAUAAUCACAUUCAUAAUCGAUUUGGCAAUGAGCUGAAUCCUUUCUGUAACUUAAACAUUAGCUUCAAUCGAUUCGUCAAUCGAUUGUGCUGAUCACAGUGACUCAGACUUUUACGUCAAUCGAUUUUCCAAUCGAUUGUGCUGAUCAAAGUGACUCAGAUAUUUACGUCAAUCGAUUUGCCAAUCGAUUGUGCUUGUUACAGAACCUCGACUAUUUUGUCAAAAUCAAUGUGCCAAUCGAUUUAUUCAAAGUGGUUCUGAUAAAUGAUUAACUGCAAUCGAUUGCCUAAUCGAUUGCCACAAACUUGUAGUUUAAGAAAUCUAAUUCAAUUGAUGUCCCAAUCGAUUUGUUGGAUCACAGAACUUAUUCCUGAUUUAAAAACUUUGUCACAAUCGAUUUGUCAAUCGAUUGAUUCAAUAAAUGGUUGGUUCUGUGAUUUGCAAAGUCGAUUACUCAAUUGAUGUCCCAAUCGAUUGUCCAAUUGAUUGGAUUAAGCCCAGAACUCAGGUUUCACUAAAAACCUUUAACUAAUCGAUUGUCCAAUCGAUUCAUGUAGUGAAAACUCUUGUUCUGAGUCAGAAAAUCGAUUGCCCAAUUGAUUCAUCAAUUGAGUUAUUAGUUGAUUGAUUUAUAUUCAUUGGCAAAGACUUAAGUAUGAGACCGUAGUGAUUAGUUUACUAAACUAACUACUAUGACACCUAAUUACACUACACCAAUUUGCAUCUUUCUCAAGCAUAUCCUCCAACUUUGGUUGAUUCCUUGAGUUGCAAGCUUUUGUUCCAAGUGUAUGGUGUCUGCUUGUUUGCCUGAAAUGUUUCUCAAUUCAAAUCAUUAGAUCAAUCAAAUAUUUCAUAUGUACUGUAUGUUUGAGAAUUAAAUCAAAAACAUGAUCAGGGAAGCUCAUGACUUACAAACUCGAUUUGUUAUAUCAUACCUCCCUACUUUAUCAUUCUAUACACAAUUUUACUUUAAACAUAGUAUAUGUAAUAAAAAAAAAUUAGAAGAGAUUUACUUCUAUCAAAUCAAAUAUCAUGCUAUAUAACUUAUGCCUCAAUCAAAAGAUAAAAUUUCAAUAAAAUAUUGCAAAUAUAAUUUAUGACUUAAUGAAUAUUAUUGCGAUAAAUUUGAAGUUUUAAAAGUCAUGUAUUAACAAAAUAUUGGCUCCUUAAUAUUCAUAAGACUUAAAACAGAAACAUUUUUUAAAAACUAUGGUAACUCAAAAUUUCCACUAAUUUGGUGGGUAGAGUCAAACUUGAUUCUAUGAGAUAAUAUCAUUCCUUAUUCUCCGCACGACUCUAUGAGGUGGCAUAUCCCAUUAACUCGUACUAAGAAUAUGAAAAUGAUAUUAAACUAUAGAAACUACCGACUGACUUCCUAGACUGGAUCACUUAUAGACUAAUAAUUUACAGUCCGCUUUUGAAUCGACAUGCUCUGAUACGAAAAAUGUAACGCCUAAAUUUUUAACAUGAAUGAAACAAAAAUAUACACAAUGCAAAAGAAACUAAAUUUUUUAAUACAUAAAUAUCUAAAUACUUACAAAUUUAAAACAACUUUCAAGUGAGACUUAAUUAAACUAUGACUCUAAUCUAGAAUCAAGACGUAAUCCGAUUCUGACUCAUUUCAUUGAAGAACUGAUGAGCAAAUUCGGAUACUCCUCAGACUUUCAAUGUUUACCUGUUACCUAGAAAACAUCACCCUCAACAUAGUGAGCAUAAAACUCAGUAGCAUAGAUUUAAUAAAAACAAUUAUUGAUGUUUCCCAGCCAUGCCGGUGUGCUAAGCAUGGAAAGUUCUCUCGGUAAACUAUACUUCAAAUUAAUAUAAUACUAUUUAUUGGUAAGCUAUAUUCAAAUACUUCUUCUACCUCUAGCCUCAAAUCUUUCAAACACUUUAAGCCACUAGACAUGAGUAAUCUAAUGACUUAAAACCAAUAUAUCAAGUCAUAAAGACUACAUUGGUUUCACCCAAUGUCCUCUACUUGAAUAACCUCUUUUGGUAAGAUUGGACAUAAUUAAGUCCGUAAAUGGUGUCCCACUUACCCUCGCUUACCCCUCGCUUCCGUCGUAUAUAGACGGAGAGUUCAUCUAGCUAGAAUGAACCCUAUAUAUAUAAUAACAAUAAUAAUAAUAAUAGUAAUAAUAAUAAUAAUAAUAAUAAUAAUAAUAAUAAUAAUAAUAAAAAUAAUAAUAAUAAUAAAAAAAAAUUAACAAUAAUAAUAAUAUAGUAUAUAUCUAAUCAUAACAUAAGAGUAAUAUCCAUUCACACCAUGAAACAUGCGCUUAACAUAUCAAACUUCUAGAAAAUAGUGUUAUAUUUAAGCUUUCAAAUGCAAUUGGUUCCAUGCACAAACAAGAUUCCUAGCUUAAAAUAUAGAUAUUUAAGAUGACUAAUGCAGAGAAACUCAUAAUACAGAAUAAUUUACUUCAUAAAAUCAUGAAAAUUUGUAAAUUUAAUAUAAACUUAUAAAAAUUUACAAUAACAAUGUAAUAAGAAUAAGCUUUCCAGUCCAAUUGGUUUCACUCAAAACCGAUUCCUAUUGCUUCUGUUAUAGUCAUCUUAACUUACCUACGUCAUAAUCAUUUUCUAUAGAAACACUAUAACUUUGGUAAUUUAAUUAAAAUAUCAAACAAUGUCCGAUUUAAAUAAAGGAUAAUAUUUUGGAAUGCCUAAGAUGUCUAGUUUAUAAAUAUAAUUUUUAUUAUGUGUAAUAGACAUUCAAUUAGUACAGUUUAACAAAAUAAGGUAUACUUAUACAAAAAUAGGACAACAUAUUAUUUUUCAACUUGUAACUCAAUUUUCUCUAUUAAUACUCAAUGAAAACAAGUGAAAUCAAUGCCUAUUUCGUAGGUAAUUAAGUCUAUUUUCUAAUGAGAUCAAAAUCAGCUCAAAACACUAUAUAUGGAGAAAGUUAUGAGCAAAAUACCAAAGAUACACCUAUACAGGUUCAAAGGCAACAUCAUACUAUUUUCACUUCAAACUUUAUAUUUUCAAAGUUCACAUGAUCAACUAAGUAAAAUACAUUCAAUGUUCAGCAUAAAACCAAGUAAUUACCAAUACUAAACAAUCAUCAUCUCAUCACAAAUCCAACCACAACACUCAACAACAAUAAUCAAACAACAACUCUUCUUAGUAAUUAAUACAAACACCUAACAUGCAAUAUUAAUAAUCAAUGAUACUAAAUCAAAUAUGAUUAUCCCAAUACCUAAAUAUACAAAUCAUGAACAGAUAUUAGGAACAUGCAACCAAUACCUCUAAACACACCUAAUAGAGAUUUUAAGAGGAUUUUCUAUGUCACCUUAAGAAGAGAUUUGAGACCCCAAAGUUUGAUUCUAAUUCCUUCUUCUACAAGUGAAACUUUAACUCCUCUUCACAUUUCCAUCUUCCUUCUCAACAUGCAAGAACUCUAAACUUCUUCUCCUAUAUUGAAACCCUAACUUUUCUUUUCUUCUUUCUCAUAAUUUUUCAUUUCACUAUACCUCUUGGUCCUCUUUUACUCUAAUAUAAGUGUGAGGGUGUUUCUAUGAUGAGACGGUGAAAUGAGGGAGCUUGAGAAGGACAAGCAAUGGAGUUAGUGUGUUCUCUCUUAUUUCUUUUUUUUCUCCUCUCUUCUUCUUUCCUCUUUUUCCUUCUUUCAUCUUUUCUCUAUUUUUUUCUUCUUCAUUUUCGCUGAUAUGUUACAGUUUUGCCAUCCCUCCCUCUUUCUUUCUUUCAUUCAUUAAUUUAUUUUUUUUAAAACAAUUGGAUUUUAAGUAAAGGGGAGUGUGAUGAGAAUUGUCAAUUACGCCCCUCCGAAUCCUUAUAAAUGACAAAUUUUGUUUUGG